rnacentral:lncRNA from 1 species
GGCAUCAAACCAUCAAAAACCCCAACUACAACACAUCAAGCAACUCACAUUGUUCAUAAACACAUAUAAAACCCAUAAACCUAACCAUGAGCUAAACAUGCAUUCUACCCCAUAGAUCUACUUAAAACUUACUUAAAACAUGCAAUGAGCUUAAGAUCGGCUCUUACCUCGUGGAGAUAGAGAGAGAGACGACCUAAACUCGGAG